CUCGAUUAGCAAGGAAAACUGAAAUUCGGGCUAAAAUGGGGAAAAUACCAAGUGGUGGACGAAAUGGUAAAAAUAGCCAUUUUCGCAUACGAGGUAAGUUCAUGUGUAAAUAAUGUAGCAUAAUUGUUAUUUUUAAGUUAUUGAUAUUAAUUAUGUGUUAUGCUGAAUUUUAUUAUGAAAUGUAUGCUUUGUGGUUAAUUUCAAAUAAUAUGUAAAUUAUGUGAACUACUUGUUAAAUAUAA